rnacentral:rRNA from 1 species
UACGUAGGGUGCAAGCGUUAAUCGGAAUUACUGGGCGUAAAGUGUGCGCAGGCGGCCGCGCAAGUCGAGUGUGAAAGCCCCGGGCUUAACUUGGGAAUUGCGCUCGAAACUACGUGGCUGGAGUAUGGCAGGGGAAGGUGGAAUUCCACGUGUAGCGGUGAAAUGCGUAGAGAUGUGGAGGAACACCGAUGGCGAAGGCAGCCUUCUGGGCCAAUACUGACGCUCAUGCACGAAAGCGUGGGGAGCAAACAGG